UGGGGAAUUUUCCGCAAUGGGCGAAAGCCUGACGGAGCAAUACCGCGUGAGGGAGGAAUGCCUUUGGGUUGUAAACCUCUUUUCUCAGGGAAGAAGAUCUGACGGUACCUGAGGAAUAAGUAUCGGCUAACUCCGUGCCAGCAGCCGCGGUAAUACGGAGGAUGCAAGCGUUAUCCGGAAUCAUUGGGCGUAAAGCGUCCGCAGGUGGUUUCCAAAGUCUGCUGUUAAAGACUGGAGCUCAACUCCGGAACGGCGGUGGAAACUUGGAAACUAGAGUUCGGUAGGGGUAGCAGGAAUUCCCAGUGUAGCGGUGAAAUGCGUUGAUAUUGGGAAGAACAUCGGUGGCGAAGGCGUGCUACUGGACCGUAACUGACACUCAGGGACGAAAGCUAGGGGAGCGAAAGGGAUUAGAUACCCCUGUAGUCCUAGCUGUAAACGAUGGAAACUAGGUGUGGCUA
rnacentral:rRNA from 1 species